GUUCCUUGCAAAGUUCAAUCCAUUCGAUUGCGGCUUUAAACAGUAAAGUGUGUCCUUUCUCGGAACCAGCGUCGGCUAAUGUGGACAUAACGUUCAUUAAAUCGGAGAAUCCGUUGCCCUCAAUCGUUGGAGAAAGAAUGUGAUAAGCUAAUGGUAUGAGAGCACGAAGAAUCGUAACAGGUACACCUUCAUCGACGCUGUUUUUCUCUUUAACUAUAUAAUUUGUAAGUGCUCGUAAAAGCCGACUAUUUUCAUGCAUCGAAUGUUGCUGUUGAAGCUGUUGUUGUUGCUGUUGUUGAUCAUCAGUGAUACUUGUCGAUUGGUUAUUGCUAGCUGAAUCGUUUGAUAGCGAAAUUAACCAUCGAUCUUGUUCAUUAUUCGGUACAUUAGCAACCUCGUCCGAUUUCGGGGCAUCUUCGGUUGUAUUAGCAACGGCAACCAACGCAUUUGUAGUUACCAUCGUUGGUGUUUGUACGUUCGUCAACGAUGCAUUUGGAGAAAUACUCGUUGCUCCUAAAAUAAUUUGUUUCAACCAUAUUUGCAACUUUUCUGGCUCUACAUGGGCCAAAUUCGACACGGAUCCACAAAGACGUUCUAAUGACCCGUCACUGCCUUUCUCAGCUGUUUUGAACAAUGUGUUGAAAAAUCUUAAGACGUGGGUGGCAAAUUGUUGUGAAGACUGUGAAGAUGUUAUACAUAACAAUACAGAAACAAGAGAUCGAUUGAAUUGCAUACACAUGGUGCACAAACGCACGCGCAUAAAUAUAUUAUUAUCGCACCUUUUUUAAGCUUAAGUAAACGAUUAAUUUAGAUCUCUUUUCUUCAAUUAGACGAUCAUUUAUUUAUACGCUAUGUUUAACAGUAAUUAUUAUAUUUAUGAACUAGAAGGAUAAACAACAAAUCACGAACGCAUAACAAAAUAUUGCUCGCGCUUUACAGGCAAUGUACAAGGAUGUCGUCGUAUUAAAACUUUAUAAAUACGAAAAAUAGCAGAAUAUUAAAGCUGUACGAUAUUACUAUCAUUGCAGGCGUAUAAGUUCGUAGGUUUUCUCGUGCUACCCAUAACUAAAGCUUCGUGGUACUCGACAAAAGUUUUCUUUGACAACGUUUACCGUGUAUCGAUGUUAUUUGUUACUAAAAUACCAGAUUUCUAAAAUUCGGAUUUACAUUGAUAAAUACAAACGUAGUACAUUAACUUUUGUUCCUUAGAUUUUAUAAUUCUAAGUCUUUGUAAUCAUAUAUGGAAAUUUAACAUAAUUGAAACGAUUUCAUACAAUCUUUGAUCAAUAGCUGAAUAUUCGCUUACCAAAAUUUGACUACUGGCAGUAUUGUUGGAAGUACGUCGAUUGAAAGAAGCUAAUAAUAAGAACGUCCUAAUGACAUUUUCUUUAUAUUUUUAUCAACUUGGUACUCGUUGUCAAUAUACUCAUUGAGUCACUCGAUCAUAGGCAAUUAAAAGCUAUUUUCGAUUCAUAAUAUUGCUUUUUUCACCUCAACUUUUUCAAUUACAAAUGACAAAUUUACGAUAUUAUUUACUACGUAUCUAAGAACAAAAAAAAAAACAGUAAUCUUGUUGGUAUAUUUAAUUUUCUUGAACACUAUGAUUUUAUUUGAUGAUAACUACUUUCGCUCAAGCAAAAAUAAAAAUAUCAAAUAAAUCGUAACAUCUAGAAAAUUAAAGAAAGAGUUUUAACGAUUACUGUUAAUUUUUGUUUGCAUAGAGAUAAAAUCAAAUAAAAUCUCCGUAUAUCGUAGCAGAUAUAUAUUCACGUAUAGAUCGUGAUGUA
rnacentral:misc_RNA from 1 species